CGUAAUUCUAUUUUUAAGAAAAUCUACUAGGUGAGGUGUCUAUUAGUUAGUCUUAUAAAUUUUCUCAAUUUAAAACGUCAUUACACAUGUAGCAAAUAAAGAAAUGAACAAAAUUAAAAUUAAUGAUCAAAUAAUUGGGAAUACAGCGUGUCCUAACUUGAUACUACAAUGUAAAUAAAUAAAAUGUGCUAUGUAUCAUCAAGCCUAGUUUCUUCAACGAAAAAGUUUGUAGCAGCAAGUUUUGGCCAAUUUAUUGGCUCUUGGCUCUGGGUGCAGACACUGCCCUUCGCAUGCCCUGCUUUUGCAAUACGUUCUUGUGUCUUUCAUGCCCUUCUGUGUUGCACGCGCACCAAUUUAAAUAGUACCAAAUCAUCACCUAUUGAAAAAGGCUCAACAAAAUAUUGAAGUUUAUCCAAGUAGAAACACAAGCAUGACAUGUUGAAAUAGGCUAGAUCUCUGGAGUAGUAGCAAUCAUCUAUUUGUACCGAUUUUUUUACCAAACCAUUUUCUAUAAUAGUAGAGAAUCAAUAGUAGAGAGGUCAACAUCAACUCUGGGCCAUCUCUCCAUGCCAUACAAGUUCCAUCCGUCGACAAUCUCUCAAUAGAAUGAGCAACAAGUGUUAGCAUAUGUACAUACAUAAAUCAUCAACACAUAAAUCAACUACAUAAUGGUGUAACCUGCAAAAGACGACACAAAGUUAGUAGUAAAAGUCCCCCUCCUGAAUGUAUUCGCCUUUUGGAUAUUAAUUUACAAGAUAGGGGUUAUAGCAAAAAUAAAUCAAAACGUACAAAACAAAAUCAAAUUUCUUCUUGUUUAUAGAUUUGUAACUUUUACAUGAUAUGAGUACUGUAUCAUUUGUUUCUCGUAAACAAGUUCAUCCUCUUAUUAAUUUCAAAGAGGGUCUAACUAUGGAACGCAAUAUCCCAUGAUAGCCUCUUAUUCAAAUAGCCCAAGAGUGGAGAAUCCCCUAUCAAGGUAGUGAUAGUUAUCGGAGCAAUAAGAACGGGAAAAUCUUAACACUCCAUAGAUCUAACCAACCAUUUACGGUAGAUGUUUGUGAAUAGUGACGAAUACAAGUGCAUGAAACGACUUGAUAUAUAGUCAAGACUAGGUGACGGAGGAUGUAGGUAAUCUUUCCUAGAGAAUGAUGGUGGCCCUACAUCAAGACCUUUGUACACUUAUAUUUAUCAAUUUUUCACAACCACUACCGACAAUGAAUCAGCCAGAUCUAUGGAAAGGCUAGACUUACCCAUCCAGUUGCACCCACAACAAUCACCCCUUGUAAUCUUUUUAUCCACAUGAAAAUAUGUAAAAGAAACCAGUUUUUCGGACGACAAAAAAUCGAC
rnacentral:lncRNA from 1 species